AACGAACGCUGGCGGCAUGCCUAACACAUGCAAGUCGAACGAGACCUUCGGGUCUAGUGGCGCACGGGUGCGUAACGCGUGGGAAUCUGCCCUUGGGUUCGGGAUAACAGUUGGAAACGACUGCUAAUACCGGAUGAUGUCUUCGGACCAAAGAUUUAUCGCCCAGGGAUGAGCCCGCGUCGGAUUAGCUAGUUGGUGAGGUAAAGGCUCACCAAGGCGACGAUCCGUAGCUGGUCUGAGAGGAUGAUCAGCCGCACUGGGACUGAGACACGGCCCAGACUCCUACGGGAGGCAGCAGUGGGGAAUAUUGGACAAUGGGCGAAAGCCUGAUCCAGCAAUGCCGCGUGAGUGAUGAAGGCCUUAGGGUUGUAAAGCUCUUUUACCCGGGAUGAUAAUGACAGUACCGGGAGAAUAAGCCCCGGCUAACUCCGUGCCAGCCGCCGCGGUAAUAC
rnacentral:rRNA from 1 species